rnacentral:tRNA from 1 species
GCCUAUCUAGCUCAGUUGGCAGAGCAAACGGCUGUUAACCGUUAGGUCGUAGGUUCGAGCCCUACGAUAGGCGCCA